CCCACUCACUAUAUACACAUAGCUUGGGAGAUCAUUUUUGAGCAUUGUAAACGACACUCUUAAGGCGUAACAUAACUCGCCGGGAGUUUGAUGGUGUUACUCACUCAUAGGUGGAGUCACAAGUCGAAAUUGGGGUAAGCACCAAUAUCAUGAGCAUAGCUGUCAAAAAUCGGCUAUGAUUUACUCAUAAGCGAUUUUUGAUGCUUCGGCUCCAUCGGAAAUCGGGAAAAUUCUUUAAAAGGCUGGUCCUAAUAGGACCAAGCCUCUUUUUGCCUGGAAAAUUCAUAGUGAAUAGUAGUGCGCGUUCAAUUCGAGUUAUUGUAGAAGGCGAUCAAAAGAUCCAAUGUUAGUACGGGUUAAUAAAUUAGCUAGCAGUGUUAAGCGUUAGUUUUGUGCUAAUUGCUAAAUCACCAAACGGUUAUAGAAAAAACCGAACCUCAAAAGCUGUGAAACCGUAAAAAAGAG